rnacentral:rRNA from 1 species
AAGUCGUAACAAGGUUUCCGUAGGUGAACCUGCGGAAGGAUCAUUACCGAAUUGUCAACACGAGUUGUUGCUGGUCCUCAAACGGGGGCAUGUGCACGCUCUGUUCACACAUCCACUCACACCUGUGCACCCUCUGUAGUUCUAUGGUCUGGGGGGGCUCUGCCCUCUCGCCGUGGUUCUAUGUCUUUACACACGCACUGUAAUAAAGUUUCAUGGAAUGCAUGACGCGUUUAACGCAAUACAAUACAACUUUCAGCAACGGAUCUCUUGGCUCUCGCAUCGAUGAAGAACGCAGCGAAAUGCGAUACGUAAUGUGAAUUGCAGAAUUCAGUGAAUCAUCGAAUCUUUGAACGCACCUUGCGCCCUUUGGUAUUCCAGAGGGCAUGCCUGUUUGAGUAUCAUGAACACCUCAACUCUCACGGUCCGCCGUGAUGAGCUUGGACUUUGGGGGUCUUGCUGGCCUGCGGUCGGCUCCUCUCAAAUGAAUCAGCUUGCCAGUGUUUGGUGGCAUCACGGGUGUGAUAACUAUCUACGCUUGUGGUUUUCCACCAGGUAACCUUCAGCAAUGGAGGUUCGCUGGGGCUCACAAAUGUCUCUCCUCGGUGAGGACAACUUCUUGAAUGUUUGAUCUCAAAUCAGGUAGGGCUACCCGCUGAACUUAA